rnacentral:rRNA from 1 species
AAGGGGAAACCCUGAUCCAGCCAUGCCGCGUGUGUGAAGAAGGCCUUAUGGUUGUAAAGCACUUGUAAGCGAGGAGGAGAGGUACCUUAGUUAAUACCUAAGAGUAUCGGACGUUACUCGCAGAAUAAGCACCGGCUAACUCUGUGCCAGCAGCCGCGGUAAUACAGAGGGUGCAAGCGUUAAUCGGAUUUACUGGGCGUAAAGCGUGCGUAGGCGGCUAAUUAAGUCGGAUGUGAAAUCCCCGAGCUCAACUUGGGAAUUGCAUUCGAUACUGGUUAGCUAGAGUAUGGGAGAGGAUGGUAGAAUUCCAGGUGUAGCGGUGAAAUGCGUAGAGAUCUGGAGGAAUACCGAUGGCGAAGGCAGCCAUCUGGCCUAAUACUGACGCUGAGGUACGAAAGCAUGGGGAGCAAACAGGAUUAGAUACCCUGGUAGUCCAUGCCGUAAACGAUGUCUACUAGCCGUUGGGGCCUUUGAGGCUUUAGUGGCGCAGCUAACGCGAUAAGUAGACCGCCUGGGGAGUACGGUCGCAAGACUAAAACUCAAAUGAAUUGACGGGGGCCCGCACAAGCGGUGGAGCAUGUGGUUNAAUUCGAUGCAACGCGAAGA